rnacentral:rRNA from 1 species
UACGUAGGGGGCAAGCGUUGUCCGGAAUCAUUGGGCGUAAAGGGCGCGUAGGCGGCCGUCCAAGUCGGGUGUGAAAUCCCUCGGCUCAACCGAGGAACUGCACUCGAUACUGGUUGGCUAGAGUCCGGGAGGGGAUGGUGGAAUUCCCAGUGUAGCGGUGAAAUGCGUAGAUAUUGGGAAGAACACCGGUGGCGAAGGCGGCCAUCUGGACCGGAACUGACGCUGAGGCGCGAAAGCCAGGGGAGCGAAUGGG